rnacentral:ncRNA from 1 species
CCUUAUUGAGAGAGGUGGAGGGAAUAGGCCCAGAGAAACCCGGCAACCUUGCGUUUGCGAAGGACGAAGAGAGCAGCGCAGAAGGUGCUAAAUCCUACAGAGUAUCAUAUAAUAAUACUCUGAAAGAUGAGG